rnacentral:rRNA from 1 species
GACGAACGCUGGCGGCGUGCCUAAUACAUGCAAGUCGAGCGAAGCGGCGGAUGGGUGAGCAACGCGUGGGUAACCUGCCCUUAAGUCUGGGAUACCAUUUGACAACAGAUGCUCAUACCGGAUACUAAAGGAUGGACCUGCGAUGCAUUAGCUAGUUGGUAAGGUAACGGCUUACCAAGGCGAUGAGGCAUGGCCGGGUGUGGAGAAUGAUGGGCCACAUUGGAAUGGAGACACGGCCCAAACUCCGACGGGAGGCAGCAGUAGGGAAUCUUCCACAAUGGACGAAAGUCUGAUGGAGCAACGCCGCGUGAGUGAAGAAGGUUUUCGGAUCGUAAAGCUCUGUUGUUGGUGAAGCGGUAAUCAACCAGAAAGCCACGGCUAACUACGUGCCAGCAGCCGCGGUAAUUC